AUUCCUACAACCAUACCACUUAGACAUACGUCACAUCAGGGGUGUGGACAAUGUGGUUGCAGACGCAUUGUCCCGCUCCUGUGAAAAUGUUUAACUGUGCUGUCCUGUCUCAUGUCCUCUGUUCCUCUUUUUCCUUCUUUCUGUUCCGUUCCUUAAAUUGCUUUCCAGGGCCCGGAUUGCUGGUGGAGCAGCAAAUUGAGGCUGCCUCCUGAGGUUAAUUGUCGUGGCCAUAAGAGGGCCGGCUCUGGCAUGAUGUCGCUCUCACUCAUUCCCCUGGCCUGCUCUGACGGGAGAGCUCGUUGGGAGCUGCCUUGACUCGCUGCCCUUCUGGGGAUCUCGCCUCCUUCUGCGUCUCCGUCAUAUUAUAUUUAGUUUAUUCAUCUACCCCUAGACACACAUUGCACAACACUUUACUUUUGUACUUAAC